GGGGCGGUGGUGUAACCUGGUUAGCAUUGCAGCUUCGGGAGUUGCAGGUUGGGGUUCAAAUCCCUGCUGCCCCA
rnacentral:tRNA from 1 species